CUGGGAGAAGUCUAUCAGGAGAAGUACAGACCCCAAAAGGGAAGCCGCAACUCCACCAGAUUCAACCAAGGAUCAGGAGUCCUAGGACAUGCUCCAGGGUCCCCCAGCUUCUCCAUUCCUUGCCCUCUGGUCUUCUCUUUACCUCCGCUGGUCUCAUCCACUGCUAUGUAUUUGGUUCUACCAAUUUCUUGACUUUAUUCCAGGUACUGUACUGUGUUGUGUGGAGGAGGGGGAAAUGACCAGAAACAUCCUUGAGAAACCUUCCAGACAAAAGAGAAGUUGGGAGAGGUGCUUUCUGGUGUUGUUGGAGUUCCAAAUAGAUUAGCUGGGAGCUCCAGAGAUCACCUGUCUUGUACCCCUCGAUCUUUUCAGGGCACAUAAGCAUGCGGGUGCACACACACACACACACACACACACACACACAUUUACUCUGGGGAUCCUUGUGGUCCUCAGCUUUGGCCUCACUGUGGGAUAAACUGGCUGCUGCCUCAGGCUUUGGACCUCUGCACCAUGGCUCCAGGCUGGGGCCCUGCCUGAGUUCUCCCUCUUUGUUCCAGGUGGCCAUGCUUUGGACCUUUUUUUCCACACUCAGAUUCUGAGCAUUGGGUCCAGCACCUUGGCAUGCAGGUGAACCCAAAGACUACUCUCCUCAGGCCUGGACCGUCAUCCCCCAAAAUACUUUCUCCGGGCCCGGCAGGCAGUACCCCUGACUAGGCUGUGGAGACAGAGGCACCACUUGCCUGCGCCAGCAAGGAGCCUUGAAGUCCCCAUGAAGUGAAGGGUGGAGGUCUUUGGGCCAGCAAGCUCCAGUAGAGGUAGGAGUCAGUCCUAGAGUUUCUGAAGCUGGAAACAAACACCCAGUUUGGGCAGACUGCAACCAGGAUCCUGAGACUCAGGAAUCUCGACUCUGCAGGCAGCUGGACCAGCAGACACAUACAAUGGUUCCAUUCCCGGAAUUUUUACUAACUGAAGGAUUUUGGGCAACACCACAACCUCUCCGACCUCAUUUUGUCAUGUGCAGAAAUACAGCCAAUGCUGCCUGAGAAGCUGGAGAGGGUAGCAGUGACGCUGUCAGGGAAGGGGAUGAGUAAUCCAAAGUCUCUACUUUCUGAUUUUGAUGCUAUCCACACCACUGUGGUUUUGGAAACUCAGAACUCCAUGAACAGUGCAAAGUGUGAAUUUUACUGUGUGUAAUUACAUCUUAAUAAAACUGCCCCCUCCAAAAAAAAGAGAGACUUGUAUUCACAGAAUUAUUGUGUGACCUUGGUCAGGUUACUUAACCCCUCUGUGCCUCUGUUCUUCUUCCCUCGAAUGGGAAUAAGGACUAGUAUGUCGAUCCUUGGAAUUAUUUAAUGAGAAAAACUAAAGCGUUCAGACAAUGCCUGGCACAUAAUGAUCUUCAGUAAAAGCUCCUGUCCUGGAUGUGGCUGUUAUUGUCUACCCACACAAGGCAAGAUGCUGGUCUUCAAAGACUGAACAAUCAAGUUGUACAAAUGAGUUAACGCCGGUCUGACGCUGCUCCAAGCUCCAGCAGAGGCCCUGAAGUUCCUUUAGGAGGUGCCAGGGUGAGAGGAGCCUGGAGUCCUAGCUCACUGGAGCGACAAAGGGCAGAGAUUCCUGGGGAGCUCUGAGAACCGCUGCUCGCUGCUCGGAGUUUGUCUGGCCCUUACACUUCCGAGGAACAGCCGCCCGAGGGCCCGCUCCCUCUCCCAUUGCUCUGGAGUGGGCCCUGACUGGGGGUGCGUAGGAGUCCUCUGGGUUCAGGGCUGUAUGAUUCCAUUUUCUCCAGCCUUGGCUGUCGCCUCCGUGAAAAGGAAAUAUCAAUAUCUUAAUGGUUGUUGAAUAGGUGAGCUUGGCACACUGUUUGCGCUCAUCACAUUUUAGUUACAGCAUUUGCAACCCGAGCCUUGUGCGCUCUGGCCCAUGAGCACCGCGCCAUACCCAGGUCACCCGGGUUUGGAGUCUCCGGACCAGCCAAAGCUCUGAGUCUUCACUGUGCGUCAGCGGCGCCGCGCGGGAAGCGCCGCUGCCGGCUGCCGGCGAAGGGUGAGCCCUCUCCCGGGUCCAAGGCUGGCAAAAGGUGACCAGAGACGGGGAGGCAAGUUAGGAAGUUCGGUAAUUCACUGUGAUUCCCAGUCACUCCGCUUCUCCAAACUCUUCGGGCGGCUAUGGGAAAAGGAAAAGUAGAAUAAAUACCUUUAAAACAUUUUUUUAAAAUCUUAUUACGGCAAAUCCUUUUCUGGAGCACCACCCAGAGGCCUCGCCCGGCGGAC
rnacentral:lncRNA from 1 species